rnacentral:piRNA from 1 species
CAAACCCAAGAAGUAGAAUUUUA